UGCCAGCAGCCGCGGUAACACGGGGGGCGCAAGCGUUAUUCGGAAUUAUUGGGCGUAAAGGGCGCGCAGGCGGUCUUGUCCGUCAGGUGUGAAAGCUCGGGGCUCAACCCCGGAAGUGCGUUGGAUACUGGCAGUCUUGAGUAUGGGAGAGGAAAGUGGAAUUCCGAGUGUAGGGGUGAAAUCCGUAGAUAUUCGGAGGAACACCAGUGGCGAAGGCGGCUUUCUGGACCGAUACUGACGCUGAGACGCGAAAGCGUGGGGAGCAAACAGGAUUAGAUA
rnacentral:rRNA from 1 species